rnacentral:tRNA from 1 species
GACAGCUUGGCCGAGUGGUUAAGGCGCUAGCCUGCUAAGUUAGUGGGGCAACCCGCGUGAGUUCGAAUCUCACAGCUGUCG